GAUGAACGCUGGCGGCGUGCCUAAUACAUGCAAGUCGAGCGAACGGACGAGAAGCUUGCUUCUCUGAUGUUAGCGGCGGACGGGUGAGUAACACGUGGAUAACCUACCUAUAAGACUGGGAUAACUUCGGGAAACCGGAGCUAAUACCGGAUGAUAUUUUGAACCGCAUGGUUCAAAAGUGAAAGACGGUCUUGCUGUCACUUAUAGAUGGAUCCGCGCUGCAUUAGCUAGUUGGUAAGGUAACGGCUUACCAAGGCAACGAUGCAUAGCCGACCUGAGAGGGUGGUCGGCCACCCUGGAACUGAGACACGGUCCAGACUCCUACGCGAGGCAGCAGUAGGGAAUCCUCCGCGAUGGGCGAAAGCCUGACGGAGCAACGCCGCGUGAGUGAUGAAGGUCUUCGGAUCGUAAAACUCUGUUAUUAGGGAAGAACAUAUGUGUAAGUAACUGUGCACAUCUUGACGGUACCUAAUCAGAAAGCCCCGGCUAACUACGUG
rnacentral:rRNA from 1 species